rnacentral:rRNA from 1 species
AUUGAACGCUGGCGGAAUGCUUUACACAUGCAAGUCGAGCGGCAGCGCGGGGCAACCUGGCGGCGAGCGGCGAACGGGUGAGUAAUGUAUCGGAACGUGUCCUGUCGUGGGGGAUAGCCCGGUGAAAACCGGAUUAAUACCGCAUACGAUCGAGAGAUGAAAGUGGGGGACCGCAAGGCCUCACGCGAUAGGAGCGGCCGAUAUCUGAUUAGCUAGUUGGUGGGGUAAAGGCCCACCAAGGCUUCGAUCAGUAGCUGGUCUGAGAGGAUGAUCAGCCACACUGGGACUGAGACACGGCCAAGACUCCUACGGGAGGCAGCAGUGGGGAAUUUUGGACAAUGGGGGCAACCCUGAUUCAGCCAUUCCGCGUGAGUGAAGAAGGCCUUCGGGCUGUAAAGCUCUUUUGUCCGGGAAGAAACGGUUUUGGCUAAUAACCAAGACUACUGACGGUACCGGAAGAAUAAGGACCGGCUAACUACGUGCCAGCAGCCGCCGUAA